rnacentral:rRNA from 1 species
GACGAACGCUGGCGGCGUGCUUAACACAUGCAAGUCGAACGGAAAGGCCCUGCUUUUGUGGGGUGCUCGAGUGGCGAACGGGUGAGUAACACGUGAGUAACCUGCCCUUGACUUUGGGAUAACUUCAGGAAACUGGGGCUAAUACCGGAUAGGAGCUCCUGCUGCAUGGUGGGGGUUGGAAAGUUUCGGCGGUUGGGGAUGGACUCGCGGCUUAUCAGCUUGUUGGUGGGGUAGUGGCUUACCAAGGCUUUGACGGGUAGCCGGCCUGAGAGGGUGACCGGCCACAUUGGGACUGAGAUACGGCCCAGACUCCUACGGGAGGCAGCAGUGGGGAAUAUUGCACAAUGGGCGGAAGCCUGAUGCAGCAACGCCGCGUGCGUGAUGACGGCCUACUGGUUGUAAACCGCUUUCGCCUGUGACGAGGCGUUAGUGACGGUAAUGGGUAAGGAAGCACCGGCUAACUACGUG